rnacentral:rRNA from 1 species
GUCUUCCUACGGGGCGCAGCAGUGGGGAAUAUUGCACAAUGGGGGAAACCCUGAUGCAGCAACGCCGCGUGAGUGAAGAAGUAUUUCGGUAUGUAAAGCUCUAUCAGCAGGGAAGAAAAUGACGGUACCUGAGUAAGAAGCCCCGGCUAACUACGUGCCAGCAGCCGCGGUAAUACGUAGGGGGCAAGCGUUAUCCGGAUUUACUGGGUGUAAAGGGAGCGUAGACGGCGAUGCAAGUCUGAAGUGAAAGCCCGGGGCUCA